rnacentral:rRNA from 1 species
UACGUAGGGGGCUAGCGUUAUCCGGAAUUACUGGGCGUAAAGGGUGCGUAGGCGGUCUUUCAAUCCAGAAGUUAAAGGCUACGGCUCAACCGUAGUAAGCUUUUGGAACUGUAAGACCUGAGUGCAGGAGAGGAGAGUGGAAUUCCAUGUGUAGCGGUGAAAUGCGUAGAGAUAUGGAGGAACACCAGUGGCGAAGGCGGCUUCCUGGUCUUUAACUGACACUGAGGCGCGAAAGACGUGGGGAGGCAAACAAGGAUUAGAUACCCUCGGUAGGUCCCUGA